CCUACACACUAGGGACAAUGUACAAUUUACCAAAGCCAAUUAAUCGACAAACUUACACAUCUUUAGAGUGUACAAGGAAACCGGAGCUCCCGGAGAAAUCACAC